GAUGAACGCUGACAGAAUGCUUAACACAUGCAAGUCCACUUGAACUUCGGUUUGGGUGGCGGACGGGUGAGUAACGCGUAAAGAACUUGCCUCACAGCUAGGGACAACAUUUGGAAACGAAUGCUAAUACCUGAUAUUAUGAUUAUAUGGCAUCGUAUAAUUAUGAAAGCUAUAUGCGCUGUGAGAGAGCUUUGCGUCCCAUUAGCUAGUUGGAGAGGUAACAGCUCACCAAGGCGAUGAUGGGUAGCCGGCCUGAGAGGGUGAUCGGCCACAAGGGGACUGAGGCACGGCCCUUACUCCUACGGGAGGCAGCAGUGGGGAAUAUUGGACAAUGGACCGAGAGUCUGAUCCAGCAAUUCUGUGUGCACGAUGAAGUUUUUCGGAAUGUAAAGUGCUUUCAGUUGGGAAGAAAAAAAUGACGGUACCAACAGAAGAAGUGACGGCUAAAUACGUG
rnacentral:rRNA from 1 species